CCGCUGCUCUCGCCUGGCUUUUCAUGGGUGAAUGGACGACCUUCGGCCUUCGCGGAAGGCUUCUAAGUUCUAACUACGCAGGAAGUAAUUACUCUCUCUCUUUCCAAUGUUGGCUCACACAAAGAAAAUCAAUGCUAUUCAAUUCUGGACCGCCUCUCUCUCUCUCUCUCUCUAAAUCUCUAUCCCCCCUUGAGAUUUAAACCGUGAAUAAAGCCCCUAAAACUACGGCCUCGAUGAAGAGAAAGUAGAUUUGAAGGGGAACACAGCAACAUACCUUGAUCUCGGAAACCCUAACGUCGAGCGUGCGAGUGGGAUAGGAGGAAAUAGGGAGCUUGUGGAAGAAGGUGAAGGUAGCCUUGGGGUUGAGCACGUGCGUUUUUGUGCCGAUAGUUCAGGAGGAAAAUCCUUCAGUUGGAAACGGGCAAAAAAUCGCAAGCAUCUACCGGAGGUCUUUUUCUGGUCGUAAUUCUUGCUUGGAUUACGGCUUGUAGAUGCCGAUUAAGCCGACUCCAAACUCUUCCAUACGUCUGAUGUCUAAUCUGAAGGACUUUAGUCAACAACUCCAUAGCAAAGAUGUCUUCAUAUCAUUUUAAGAGAGACUUAAUUUCAGUGGGAAGGAGAGUCUCAACAAUAUUUUGCUCAGCAAAUAGAAUGGCAAGCAUAUAAGACUGUCCCUUAUAAGCCCCUAGCAAUUCCCAUCCGACUUCACCAGUAAAGGCAGCAUGAGCAUUUUCUUGCUUCUUGGUUAGUAGAGGUGAUGACAACAUUUAAAUUUCUCAUUCUUCACUCAAACAGAUAGGCAUUGGGGCAAGCAUCAUUUUAAACGCCCAUGUCAACUUGCCAAUGGCGUCCCCAUAUGAGUUGUUGUUGAUCGGAACCCCAACCACCUUUUAACGAGAGAUUAUUAUGUGCGGUGUGAGGUGUCCGGAUUGCCCGGAGGCGAAUUCGGACCCGCCAUGUCACCUAGAUGCAUUGGCCCUGGGUGACAUGGCGCGUCCGGAUUCGCCUCCGAAUGAAUCCGUACGCCACAGGUAAUAAUUUUCCCCUUUUAACCCAGCUAAAUUUAUACAAAUGUGAAUGUUUACCACCAUUUUCUAAAAGAAGUUCUCACACUUUUUUGCCAAAUAGUGCAUUGCGCCAAAGAUCAUAUCAUUUUAUGCUGCUUUUUGGUUGUUUAGGAGUGAGGGAUAUUUUCUUAAGGAAGUAAGAAAGGAAUUAUCUAUCAUCUCCUUGCAAGUCUUUGACACCUUUGGCUGAGAACAAAACAUCUAAAGCACUUAUUUCCUCCUGAUAUCCAUCCAUCAGAUAUUAUUGCUUCAUGUUCCAGCCUCUAUUAGAGCGGUGAGUAGGGAUUGAUCUAUUGUACAUAUUUUUUCUUUGCCCGCUUGGUUUUCUUGGGUCCUUCGAAUAAGCCACAUUUGUUGGCUCAGCUUGUGGUGCGGAUUGGCUUAGGGAUUGAAGGGUCCUCUCUUUCAAAGUGGGAAGAAUAACUUUGGCCACUUUAUUGCUAAGAUUUAACUCAGUUUUGUUUGUUGGUUGGAAGCUAUGGCUAUUAAUCCAGAAAUUUUGGUUCAAGUUUUGUGUAUGUGAUGUGUGUGUGAGUUUGCCUUAAUUGCCUAAAUGUCCAAAAAAAAAAAAAAACCUUUAUAGCUAAGU